CACGCUUAAGCUUUGUUAGGGCCGGUAACAAAGGAGAGCUAACAAUGAUUUCAGAAAUCCCAAGUCCUGCUCGGAGAGAGAUAAGCUGCAAGCAGAGCUGCAUCGCCGUGGGAAGUUUCAGCCUCACUUAUCAAUAUUAAUUGCAGGAGCCCCGUCAUAAGCACACACUUUUACAGCCAAAGUAAUGCAGCUGAGAUGGAGGCACAUCAGAGAUUGUUUUCGUUGGGAAAUCUUUGCCCAGAGGACUACUACACCCAGGAGCCUCACCAUCAAAAAUAAUAAAAUAUAUUUAUGCAGAGAGACUGAAAUUUCUACUUGCUACCUGAUUUUUCUAAGAGACAGAGCAGGAUGGAGAUAUAGCCAUAGAAAAUCCACAUGUUGAAACUUCUUCAUCUGAGAGUUUACCAACUACUGGCACUGUCACUCCACCUCUGCAAAUCUCUCAGGCUGAAGACACCCCCAAAUCAUCCACCCAGUGUGCCUGUUGUGCAACCAUCAUUGUGCAUCGCCAGUAUUUCAUAGGCUCCCACAUCGAUGAUAGAAAAUAAAUUUUUUGCAUCAACAACAGCCAGAAGAACAACUGAAAAGUAAUUUUUGUAAUUAAAGCACUUGUGAGGCCACCCCCAGAUGAAAAUGCAUGGAUUGAUAUUGCAGAAGACUUAUACAAAACAAUAAAAAAUCCUAAUGUUUUGGGUGCCUUGGAUGGAAAACACAUUCAAGUUACAAUAACUUUCAAAAGUGGCUCAAAGUCUUUGCAGCUCAGACCAUAUAAGCAGACAAGUUUCUCUUACAAUUUAGUCUAUAGUGGUUUGACUGAUAAAGAAUUGGAAAUACAAGAAAGAAACAACUGUCCAGCUGCUAAAAACCUGAAAGAAAAACAAAACAAAAGGAUUACUUCUUUAAUUAAAAAUAUCACUAUGAUAGAUUGGACCUAUAUUAUUGCAAACUGCCCACAUAUAUACCUAUGACAUAGCUUUAAAUCCCAUACACCAGACACAAACAUACAUAUACCCACAUAUAUACCUAUAUGCCCAUACCAGUCACAUAAAUACAUAUGCCCAUAUAUGUUACAAAGAUAAAGGCCUAUUACGUAACAAGCAAUAAAGCAUACAAACCUAAGGGGCACAUUUACUAGGGGUCGAAGUGAAUUGGAAGCGAAUUUUCAAAUUCAAAAACUUCGAAUUUCGAAGU